GAGAACUUUCCAGAGAUGGAUUGGUGCCUUCGGGAACUCUGAGACAGGUGCUGCAUGGCUGUCGUCAGCUCGUGUUGUGAAAUGUUGGGUUAAGUCCCGCAACGAGCGCAACCCUUAUCCUUUGUUGCCAGCGGUUAGGCCGGGAACUCAAAGGAGACUGCCAGUGAUAAACUGGAGGAAGGUGGGGAUGACGUCAAGUCAUCAUGGCCCUUACGAGUAGGGCUACACACGUGCUACAAUGGCGCAUACAAAGAGAAGCGACCUCGCGAGAGCAAGCGGACCUCAUAAAGUGCGUCGUAGUCCGGAUUGGAGUCUGCAACUCGACUCCAUGAAGUCGGAAUCGCUAGUAAUCGUGGAUCAGAAUGCCACGGUGAAUACGUUCCCGGGCCUUGUACACACCGCCCGUCACACCAUGGGAGUGGGUUGCAAAAGAAGUAGGUAGCUUAACCUUCGGGAGGGCGCUUACCACUUUGUGAUUCAUGACUGGGGUGAAGUCGUAACAAGGUAAGCGUAGAUGA
rnacentral:rRNA from 1 species